AUUGCUCCGCCCCGCCCCUUGGCGCUGACGCUCCCCCUCUCCCCUCCUCCGAACCCUCCCUUCCCCAACCCCCCCCCCUCCCCCCCGUCCUCCCUUACAAUUCUCCGCGCCCACUGAGGGUCGGCCCCGGCCCCGCCCCCGCUCCUCUCUGGUGGGGCUUUGGGCAGCUGGAGCCUGUGUUGGGCCGCUCAGUGUAGGGCGCUCGGGUCUCCUGGCUUUCCCCGGGCCUCCGGCGUCCCCAGUUCCCAGCUCUUCUCUCUCCUAACACAGCUCGCGGCGCUGCGCUUUCCUCGCGGUCUCGGCAUUCCCGCUUUGUGCGAGGCGGGAAGGGGGCCCGAGGGCACCGCGCGGGGCAUUCUGGGUAGCAGACCGAUCUCCAGGUGGGCUCUGGUGCUCCGAUGGGGAUUUUCUCUGGCGCUGCUUCCCGAAGCCAGUCAGGAAGACGCCGGAUGGAGGCCCGAAGGGGGUUCCUGGUCCGGUCCAGCCAGAUCCGGGCCGUUUCCGGUGUCGGGCUCCUUUCUCCGUAGCUUGUCAAGGAAGCCCCCUUCUGCUGUGGAGGAGGAUUAGAGAGCCGGAAAAGAGGCUCCUCACUGGCCGGGGGUUGCUGGGGACGAGCCGGCCUCCGUGCCGGGACAGCCAAGACCCGCAGCAGCCUCGGGAGCCUCCCGGGGAAGGUCGUGGAAGUAAAAGCCCCAAACACGAGCUUCCACUCCGGGGCUUGGCCUUUCCGACAGUCGGCUGACCCCGGAGUCUACAGGCUGGCCGGGAUCUGUACUAGGCCUGCACGGUGGGUCCAUGUUAGGAAACGAUCAGCUUGAGGGCCCGAAGCAAUAAGAGUGUAAAAACGCUGGUUCUGUUUCCAUCCAGUUUUCCUAAAUGGAGGGCAGAGACUCUUCUAGUCUCUUCUAGUCUCACUCUCCUCCAGCCUCCUGGCUCGCCCCCUGCUGGCUCUCAGCCAUCCAAAGCAAUGUGGGGAGAUCACUUCCUGCCCCCCUCCCCCGCCUUUACCCAGCAUCCUUUUGGGGCCAAUGUUUGGAGCUCUCUCCAGGGAAGUCUAGUCACGUGGCAUAAAGCUAGCAGGGAAACAGGUAAGCUCUGGAGGUUUCCUUCAGACAACAGUUAUCUGCGUAGACACUUUAACAAUCUUUUGUCGGCAUAAAACAUUUCUAGUUAGUACACUGGAAAGCACAGAAACGACUGGCGUUUCCUUGAGAAGUCGUAGCAAUAUCUAAAGGCCAUCAAACAUUUCCACUGAUGGGGAUAAACUAGAAGCCUUUUGAUGACAGCCAGUGACAAGUUUUGCCCAAAGGAAACCCACUCAAACAACAUUAGAAAGAGCAGAAAACCAGAAAUGCUUGCAGCGAUUUUUCUCCUAAAGGUCUCAUCUAUAAAACAUUUCGUGAAUUGAGUCACAUUUGUAAAAUUGCAAGUCAUUUCCCAAUUGCUAAAACGUCAAAGGAUAUGAACAGCAGUUCUCAGAAAGGAAUUCAAGCUUCCUAUAGCCGUGAUCAAUACUGUAAGUCACUAUUAAUUCGAAAAAGGAACAAUAUAAAAUCUCUGAGAUAGAGACUCAAACACCAGGUUUGCCGUUAUUAGAGAAAAGAAAAAUGACAACUGAGAAAAUAUGGGAAAUUCUGGAUAUUGACACACUUAGUGGAGUUGUGAACUGAUCAAACUAUUCUGGAAAGCAAAUUUGUACUUUGUUUAAAGCACUAAAACUUUGUAUAUUCUUUGACCUAGCAGUACUCCUUCUAUUCCAAAGUGAUCAAAGAAAAACAAAUGGAGCGGUAUGUACAAUCAUUUAUAGCAACUCUUUUGUGUGGUGACAAAGAAUUGGAAAUUGACUUGAUGCUCCUGAAUUGGAGAAAGACUCAAUAAAUUAUAAGGUUUUGAUGAAAUACUUGUAAAAAUGGAGAUUUUGAACCCUAUACUUCAUUCCCCAGAAGUCCUUGGUAUUUCCCAGAAUUUCCUAUAAUCUCACCUGGCCAAGAUCACAAUGACUAUUUAACUGGCAGUAAUGCCUACCACACUCUCUUCUCUUCUGUAGAAAGUAUAGUGCUAAGACCUGCUUGACCCAGAUGAUUCUCCUGGUCCCUCCCCUCCCCGGCCCAGCUAGCUGAUCUCCAGCCUCCAAGCCAUAUCUCCCCAGGCCAACCACAAGACCAAGGCUGCUGGUACCUGCUCUGUGUCUUCAGGAAUCACAAAUCAACUGGUAAAAACUGGGAUGUUCUUUAUUUAGGCAACAAUUAGCCUCCACAUGGCAGGGGACCUUUGGGGGGGGGGGUGAAACGAGGAGAAGAAAGAGACUUUUUCCAAACAGGAAGUAUGGCAUAUUCUAUGAGAGAACAGUGCUUUUCGUAUUUCAAAGGAUAUUUUUGAGUGCACUGAUACUUUCAUUUAUCUCAUCUGAGAUUCAGGAAAAAUUUCAUCUCCCUGCAACUCUAUGCCAUUGGGACUCCCCAAAUUGAAAUUCCUACAACCCACGUUCACACUUGCUGUGGGAUAUUUAUCAGUGCUGACAAAAGGUAUCUCAAUGGAUUAAAAAAAAUUAACUUUAAAGAGACUAGAGGUUAUAUUUUUAAGGCAUUUGAGACUCCAAUGUUUUAUAAAAAUCUCUGUAUUUUAUUGCAUUUUACUGAUUGUAAGUUCAUAUAUUAAUGCAUUCAAUACUAUUUUUUUACACUGAAUUGUUUUAAUGUACUGGGUUUUAACUACUGUUAUAUUCUGUGCUUUUCCCCUAUAACUAUACAAAUAUUAUUGAAUAAGCCACAUAUAAAGAAUAGCCUUUUUUCUAUUUUGACUUUGUAAGUUGUCACAUAGAGGAUAGAUGGACUUCAUCAAACUGGUUACAAUUCUGUAAUAACCUUUGGAAAAUUUAAUGAGCUAAAUGUCUCAAAUUGAUUAUAAGGGUUCCUUAGACAUGCUUUUUAGAUAUUUUUUCAACAACUCUGAUCAUUUUGCCUGCCCCUAAAAGGAGGUAAAGUCCAUUUUAGUAGCUGAAGUGAAAUAUAAUUAUAAUCCUCCCACAUUUAUAAAACUGUGAACGGAUGGGAUAUCACAGUCUCAUGCCAAAGGAGCAGGGAAGGUAAUCCCAGAGCAUUUUACCCCUGGAUGAUUCCCCAAAGAGGAGCAUCUCUCAUUUAUAACUAUUCAGAUCACUUACUUCCAACAGAAUGAUAUCUAGAUUUCUUGAUGAUGUUCUAGACCCAAAUAAGUUUUACUUUGUUUAAAAAUGUAUUUGCCAAGGUUGAAAGAUUUGCUACAUCUGUAAAAAUUGUGACAAAUAUCCAGGAGUUCAUACUUUUUAAAAUUCCAUACAGCAACUUAUGUGAACUAUGAUAGUGGGUUUGUUUUGUGAGAUUUAAAAUGGUUGAGGUCUUAAACUGUAGUGAUUAAAAUAGUGGAAGAUAUAAAUUGUGAUAGAUAUAAGAGAGGGUGAGUAAAUUUGACCACAGAAAUAUGUUUCACUACAGUGUCUUGGGUUUUAAAAUCAAAUAUAAGGUGGUUGCCAGGGAAAUAUUCCCAAUUAUUCAAAUACCCAAGUCAAUUGGGUUUUAUAGAAAUUUUAAUUAACAAUACAAUGAGUAAUCAAAGAAAGACAGAGAGUAAGAAAAGAAUCAGUUUUUUUAACACUCACCACAAGGUCAGACUAAACAAGGAUUUCAAAUGACACCAGGCCAGCAGCAUCUCAGCUGCUUUCACCAGUUCCCUCCUCCAUCUGAAUGUUUCAGAAUCAGUCUCCUCAGAAUGAGUCUCUCCAAUCUGAAUGUUUCAGAAUGACUUUUCAGCUCUUCCCUGAGCUCUUAUUUUUAAGGGCAAAAUCUCCUCUGUCACCUCCCCUAAGUCCUUACAUCUACCAAUCACUGUAGAUGUUUCUAAAGGACCGCCCAUUUUUAGUCCACACCUAAGAAGGUGUGGAUUUUUGAGUAAUUCACACCAGGAAAGCUCUGAGUAAGUUUUCCAGUUCUUUGUUCCUUGUAAAUUCACAAGUUGCUUGACCUUUAUAGGUACUUAGCUUAAGAAAAGUAUGGGUUUAAGUACUUUUCAUUGUUCAGAAAAGAGUUUACAACUUUAUUUUCCCCUAGGGCAGACCUAAGUAGGUAAAGUAGAAGUCUCACAUUCCGGCUUUAAGUAGAGUUCACUGCCCAAAUGGGGAAUGGUCUUAAUCCAAUCUAAUAAAGUAGGGUCUGGGAAAUUUUAAGGUUUACAAUCCCCCCUGAUGAUCAUUGGGGAGACUAGUCUCCCCAUUGAUCAUUUAACAUAAUCAUUUUGUAGUUCUAAAUGCACUUCUAACUAUAGAUAUACACAAUAUUCAAUUUUCUAAGAGAAAUUAGAAUAGUGAGAGAGGAAAUACAAAAGAAAACAAAACAAAACCAAUGUUUUGCUGGGCGCAUUGACAGAAAGCCAAAUCAGGGGCAGUCCCUUUUGGCAUAAAUGUGUACAUUUACAAUAAAUGUUCAAUUAAAGUUCAGUUCAAUCAAUCAUAUCCAAAGUUCAUUCUUGAUCUUAUUGAUGAAGUGUAGGUUUUCCGGUAUCUUUCUGCAACAGUUCAUUCUCUGGAUAUAAAAGCUUCAAGCUUCUUUCUUGAAGAUCUUUUCUCGAACAAAAUCAAAAUCUUGAAUUUUUAUAGAAGUAGAAUCUUAAACAAAAAAUCAAAAUUCUUGGAUUUUUAUAAAAAUACAAUCUCAAACAAAAAAUUCAAAAUUCAAAAAUUCUUAGAUUUUAAAUUAAAAUACAAUCCCCCCUGAAGUAGGCGUUAAAAAACAUCAAGUUUUAGCUCAGAAUGCAAUGUUCAGUUAUGGGGGUGUACGAGUCAAUUAUCAAAAGAAUAGAAAAAUAAUCAAAAACAUAAGAAAAAUUCAAAAUAGGCCUCGUAUAGGUCCAGUUUAAAGUAAUUUCUAUCCCACAAGUAUAUAGGAGAGAAUGCAGUAAUAUUUCACUUAGUCAUUUUUAUCCAAGACUACAGGAAGUUGCCAUAAUAUAAGAAAGAAAAGUAACUAGAAUUCUAUUUUGAUAGGGAAAUGUCAUUCCCUCGCCCAAGUUUUUUGUCAUUCUCAGGGAUAUAGGGAGCCAGCAUGAUAGUCAAACUUUGUACUUGUAUGAGUACUUCGUAAAGAGUGUAGAUACAAGGAAGUCCUACGACUUAACAUAUGUCAAGCUUCGCAACCUCGAGUCUCACAUUAGUAUUUCAUAUGUGCUCUUUUUUGGCACUAUUCAGGUUAAGUCUGUGCUCCUUGUUUUUUAUCCCUGUAAAAAAUAGAUUCGAAUACAGGACUACAAUCCCCACGAGCCUUUGCUCCACUUCCCCAGAAUGCCUUGUAAUCUCACCUGGGCCGAGAUCGAGAAGGUAUUUAAGCUGAUUCAAAGGCUUUUGAGGGGCUCUCUCAACUCUUGGACUUCUGUUUUGGGACAGGUGUGGCUUUUUUUUGUAAUGUAGGUGAGGUUGUGUCUAGGCCACUCUAUGGCUUGGACAUGUGUUUCUUAUCCUGUAUUUUCUGUAAUCCUUAAUCUUCAAUAAACCUCUAAAAAAUAUAAUACUCUUUCAGAGAGAAACUAAUUUCAGAUGCCGCAGUCUCCCCCGUCUCCCCUAAAUUUUAAUCUUUACAUCCCUAUUUCUGGAAUCAGAUACAAACAUUAAUCACAGUCCUAUAAUAUUUUAUCAAUAAAUGGCAGGUUCCCGUACUUUAAAGCUUUUAGGUAUAUAUUGAUAUUAUAGCAAGAAUAUAUAUUAACUUCUAUUACUGCAGGAAAAAAUAUUAAUAUUAAUUAUGUGUACCUUCAGUACAAAAAUGAGAAAAAAUCAAAUAUUCUAAUCACAAAUAAAGAAAAGAAAUUAUAAAAAUAAGGAAAAAAUCAGUAAUUCAAUGUGUUCUCGAAAAACAGCAUCCAUUUGUGUAUGGAUUAUUAUCUCCAAUUCAUAGGAUAGGUUUUAGUCAAUCAGUCUCAGCAGAAGAUGCUUUCUUCACAUGUGAGCAGUGAAUCCAAGAGUCCUUUUCUCCAAUCUUUAUGGAUGUUGGAGUAGUUAAUAAUACUUGGAAUAAUCUUUCCCACGAAGGCUGAGUUGCUCCAGUAUGCUUGAAAUUCUUAAUAUAAACUUUAUCUCCUGGAUUCAGGUCAUGCAGAAAAAAGUCUAGUGGUCCAGCUUGUACUGCAGCUCCAGAUUCAUGAAGUUCACGUAAUUUGUGCUGUAACUCCUGUAUAUAGGAAGCAAUAGUAAUAUCUCCCCCUAAUAGUGAGGUAUAUGCCGGGGAGAAAGGCUUAGCUUGUAUAGGCGGAUGUCCAAAAAGCAUCUCAACUGGUGAAAUAUGUAAGUCUCCUCUAGGUCUGCUUCUAAGAUAAAAUAGGGCCAGAGGGAGAAUUUCAGGCCAUUUUAAAUGUGUCUCAGUGCAUAAUUUGCCAAUCAUAGUUUUAAGUUCUUUGUUCAUUCUUUCCUACUAUUUGGAGAUGUAAACCUCAAAAUUUCUUAGACUUAUAAAUGUUGGAAAUUUCACCAUUGGGAAAUUUCAUACUUGAAAAAAUUCCUAUUGAUAGUGGGUCUUGACUAUUGGAAUGUGAAUCCCAUUGGCAUGGGAGGUUCCUUCUCCUACCUUUUUAAGAUUACUUUAGGACAGAAACCUUUUGCUGAACAAUGGAAAGGACUUUGACCUAUGCUUAAGCAUAGAACAGGAAUUUCUUUGAGUCAUGAUUGAUUUUAGAAUUGAAACAAUGGAGAUACUUGGAAUCAAUCUCCACCCUAUUCAGUCCUAACAGGAUUGAGUAAGGGCUGCAGCCUAGAUCAAAAUUUAAUUAUUCCAAUCUCUACCCUACUCAGGUUAACAGGAUUUAGAAAGGCCUGUAGCAAAGGAGCAAAGAUUUAAUUAUUUGAAAAUAUGACCUUCAACAAACAUGUGCAAAGCCUCUGGGCGGUCCUGGGUUAAGCUAGAGCCUCCAUUGGCACAGGGAAAUUGAUGGACAGUGAUUGGUAGAUGUGAGAACUGAGGGGAGGCAACUUGGAUGGUUUCCUGAAGGAUUGGGGGGGUCUGAAGAGGAGAGGGAGGUUGAGGAGUUGGCAGGAGUGGUUGCGGUGUGCUCUGAGAAGCUUGCUCUGAAGGAAGCUGAAGGUGGGGGCCUCUGAGACUGUUUCUCCAUUUUUGGUCACGUGAGUAAUAGGGACUGAUCUCCUUUCAUUGCCCCAGCUAUCUAAGGGCUUGGGCCUUUUGGCCCAGCCUAAACAGAAGGGGUAUUUAAGCCCUAUUCCCUUCUCUCCCCUUUCUCUCUCCCUCUAUCUCUCUAUCUCUAAUUCCUUUCUUCCUCCUAUUGUAAUUAAACUCCAUAAAAGAUUGACUGCUGACUUGAGUUUUCAUUUAGGAAUUACAUAGCGGAAUUCCUUAGCGACCUUAAAUUAAUAUAUAUCAGUCUUUUAAAAUGAUUUCCAUGUCACAUUGUGGCAACCACGAAGGGAUUUCCAUGUCACAGAGAGGAGAAAAAAAAAUGAAAAAGGUUAAUUAAUAUCAACAAAAUCAAUGCAAUCUAAAAAGAAUCAUCUUCAUCAUAUUGGGAAGUUCCUUGGGCACCCUCCUGAAGGGCACCUCUCUGAGGUUCAUUAGCACCUCGAGCAUGUUUUGGACGAGCACCAUUUCUCAUAUAUUGUUGUUGAGUAUUAUAAUUUUCUUCAUUUGGAGAAUUGUCAUUAUUUUCCCAAUUCCUAUUUCUAUAAUUCUGGUUUCUAAAGUUCUUAUUUCUAUGUUCAUUAUAGUUAUUUCCAUAGUCAUUAUUAUAAUUUCUAGAAUUUCUAGAAUUCUGGUUUCUAUGACCAUUAUCAUCAUUUCUAUAGUUAUUUCUAAAGCUAUUAUUAAACUGCAUAUUCCUUCCAAUCAUCUUAAGAAA